rnacentral:lncRNA from 1 species
UUGGAAAGAGUUUAAAUCAAACAUUCUUAAACAAAGAACACAUGAGAAGUGUUUCAUAAAGAGGAAUAGACAAUAGAAGAAUCAACAUGAACUGAUAUAAGAGGUUCCUUGAGACUCAAGGUUUCUUCCUUCAUGGUUUCCAGAGGAUUGUGGUUUCAGCAACCAUGGAGGUCACAGUGUAGGGAUCCAUGUUCGACGCUGGCCUACGAUCUUCAAAGUAUCCUUUCCCAUCUUUCUCUGUGUCACGACCAACCCUAAUCGAUGCCCCACGGUUUGCAACACCCUUUACAAAACCGGUUUAAGUUAGAUCAUGCUUUAGGCUAAUAAUGUAUACAUUUUAAGAAAAGUCUUACCCAUAAGAAAGUGUUGAUAUCAGCAGUCUCGUGUCUUCCAGUGAGACGACGCUCGUUGCCUUCACCAUAAGCAGCGAUGUGUUCCUUGUGACGCAGUCCAAGCUUCUCUAUCGCUUUCUUUAUGAUCUCGUACCCUCCAUCUUCCCUCAUCGACUUGGUGCUGCAGAAAACAAGAAAACCAAAAUCAGAAAACAAAAAAAAACACAGAGAAAAAAACAUAUAAACGGAAUCAUAGCAGACCUGUAAUUUGUGUGUGCUCCUGCACCAUUCCAAUCUCCCUAGAAUAUAAAAAUUAAAAUAGAGUAAUUCAGUGAAUUUAAAAGAAUCAAAGGUCUAUUUUGUAAAUAAUUGAAAAUAUGGUAAAUCUAACCGGAAUUGGUUUAGGGUCAAGAGACAAAACCACUCCAGCCAAUUCUGUGAUCCUCUGUUUUUAACAUACCCAAGAAACAUAGUCAUAAAACAGAGUAUAUGAAGAGACAGGUCUUGAUGAGUGUGUUUAUAUAUACCUCGAGGAUGUAACGAGCGACCCAGACCUGAUCAGCGGCAGCUAUUCCAACGGUUGGACCGACUUGGAACUCCCACUGAAAACCCACACAAUAUCAGUUUCACGGUCAAUAUGAUAUUGAAUCAGAAGAAUACAUAGGGAAUAUAUUAAACCUGGCCGGGCAUGACUUCUCCGUUAGUGCCACUGACAUUGAUUCCGGCGUAAAGACAUGCUUUGUAAUGAGCAUCUACGAUGUCUCUUCCAAAGGCUUUGUCUGCUCCAACUCCACAGUAGUAUGGUCCCUGUUUUUUUUUAUUAAUAAAUAUUUUUUUACUUAUUUGGCACAAACUGGAGUUUUGGAUUGAGAUAAAGAAGUGAAAAGAUUCGCCGAGAAAAUCUUUACCUGAGGACCUGGGAAGCCACCGACGGGCCAACCAACUGGCCACUUAGUAUCCUUUUGGAGCAAAGUAUACUCUUGCUCAAUUCCGUACCUGAAUUUCAAUAUAUUUGAAAUAUUUAAUUAAUUUAGAAAAAUGUAAAUUUAGAGUAACAAAUGUGUUUAUGGUCAAAUUAUUUAAUUAUACUUUUACGUUAUAAAAAUAUAGAUCAACAAAGUUGACUACAUCAUGUUACGUCUCCUUGCGUUACCAUUUGGAAUUAAACUCGCAUGAUGAUGUUGACAAAAAAUUAACUAUGAAAACAUAAAGUUUUCAAACAAAAAAAUUGAGAUCAACUUUGACAAAAAAAAUUUCAUUGUGAAGAUGUAUACCAUGUUUCUUCGGCGGCAACGGUUGGGUCGCUAAAGAUCUUGGCCGCCGCAUGCCUUUUGUUGGUUGGGAUCGGUUCGCCAGCCGGUGUAUAAGCGUCACACAUCACCUAAUUCCAAAUCAAUCACAGAAACAAAAUAAAUGAAUAUUGCAACAAAUUUCGAGAGUAUUGUUCUAGUUGUUUAAAUGAGUUAUUACAAGGAUGUUGUUGCCUCUUCUGAAUGGAUCUUUGAAGAUAGCUUGAGGGCUGAAAAAAAAAACACAUAGAAAACCCACAAUCUCAUUAAUCCAAGAAUUAGAAAAAGUUACUUAAAUUAUUAAUUGAUUUAAUUAUGGAACAUACUAGAUGAUGACUUCACUGUCAUCGCCGGGGGCUUGGCCGGUGCUUGAACCGUCAUAGUUCCAUUUCGGUAACUCCGAUGGAUCCUUCACUGGUCCCGGCAAAGUCUGCAGCAAUAAUAUUAUUAAUCAUGUCCUAAAUUCGUGAUAUUACUUUAACGAUUUACUCAUCGUUUACACUAUACAAAAAAAAAAUUCAAAAUAAAUUAAUUACCCUUGCUUUGCUUCUCAUAUCCAAGCCUGAUCCACCAAUCCUAUUCAUCAAAUCACGAAAAUAUUAAUCAAAAUAUUCAAUCAAUCCAAUAUCUUUCAACUUUUAGUAUAUCAAGCAAAAUUUCAAAGUUUUGAGUCAUAAGAAAACCUCAAGGAUGAGAACUAUAGACACAAACGCCAACUCAAACACAUAAGCAAAUAAUAUACUGUUGUAGAUUAAAUAAAAAAAAAAGAAAUAAUAUUACGGACCAUAUGUACUCGGCAAUGAUCUUCUCAGAGGAGUCGGAGAGAUCGAGAUUGAUUAAAUCUGCAAGAGCCGACAUUUUUCUAGGAAUCUGAACAGAAAACUAAACUUUUUUUGUAUAACACUAAGGAGAUUCCUGCAAGUGUAUUUAUAUAGGGGGGAGAGAGAAGGGGUUGGUGCGUGCUUGACUAUAUGGUAAGGAAAACAAAAUGAUUUGGGUGAAAAACGGAGAAGGCGGAAAUAUCGGGCUAUUAUUGGAAAUGCGUAUAAUCCGGAGAUUCUAUUGAUUCCGAGGUUAUAUAAGAUUCUAUUCAUAUAGUAUCUAUUAGGAAAAACAAAAAUUAUUCACCUGUCACCUGAUGCCCCGGUAACGUUUACCAUAUAAAGCUUCUCACCAACCGUGGUUCUCGUGUAAUACAAUCACAUACGGUAAAACUUCUAUAAAUUAAUAAUGCUAAGAUUUUAAAAUUUUAUUAAUUUAUAAAAAUAUUAAUUUACAAAAAAAAAUUAUUUAAAUUAUUUAUUUUUAGAUAUAUUUAUUCUAAAAUAAGAAAAAUAUUUGAUUUUAAUAUAUUAACAUUAAUUGUUUUUUUUUUUGAAAUUUGAUAUUUAUAUUAAUUUUAUUAUAUUAUUUGGUGUAUAUAAUAUAUAUUGCAUAGAACAUAAAUGUGGUUUUAGAUAUAAUUUUACUAAAUAUCAUCAAAAAUAUUAAGUGUUAAUAACAUAUAAAGAUAAUUCUAUAACAUUAGUUUCUUGCUUAUAUAAAAUAUGUAUACAUAAAAAUUAUUAAUUUAUAAUUUUAAUGGGACCAUAUAUUUAAAUAGAUUUUAAAAUUAUUAUCUUAUUAUUUUAUCGAUUUGUGUUAAAUAUUGAACCAACUCAAGUUGAGACCAACGAAAUUUAUUAAUUUAUAGAGAUUAUUAAUUUAUCGAAUAUUAAUUUAUAUAGGUUUUACUAUAUUUACAAACUUUGCAAUUUAUGUAGUCAAAACUAAAUAUAUGUAGUCAAAACUUAAUAAAACAGUCAGAUAGUAUCUUUUAUUUUUAUAGCUAAAAUAGGACAGAUAUAUAACGAAAAUAAGGAUCUUUUGAGAGAGAGGUUUAUAUGGGAAGGUAGUAUAUUAGAUUCAUUCGCAGGAUCUUUUAAUUAGGAAACAUGGAAUAUAAUUUUUAGAAUCGUUUGGAAGAGUGUAAAUCCAAACCUACCAAAAUUAUUCUGAUAUUUUUGAGUCUUCGACCCUUCUGUUUGUUUGUUUAUUAAAUUUUCUCUUCGAGAUUUUUUAUUCUCAUUUUUUUAGUAACUCAACUUUUGGACAAAUUAAAAACCCCAAGUUUGAAUAAUCACUAGGAAAAAAACAAUUGUGUUUACAUUGAAAAUGCGUGACCAAGCUUUUCCCUAACCCGUGGGGCUUAACAUUUGAGUGGUGAGCCAUAAGCUCCACUAAAUUUAAGAUCCAAGCUUUAUCGUUUCAAGAUUCUUGUUUUAAAGGAAUCUCUUAAAAUCACCCACGCUCUUCUCGUUUGCACGGUUACGUUAAGCGCUUUACUAUUAUCGAUUCAAACCAUUUAAUAUUGUGUUAAAUUCUCCAAAUAUAUAAAAUUAUAGAGUUUUGUACAAUGAGAUAAUAUGAGUAAUUUUUUUGAAAAUACUUUGUAAAUAAAUAUAUAUAUAUAUAUUCAAAGCUAAAAACAUUCGAACGUAAAAAAUGUUAAAAGGUAAAAUAUAUGUAUGUCAUACUACUGUUGAAGUGGUCUAAUACGAAAUCGACAUAUAGUAAUUAAAAAAUAAAAUAAAAAAUUUAUAGUGCACAUAAACGCCAAAACAUCACUCUCUCUUACGCUGAUAAUACAGUGUAAUUAGGUUUGUCUUUGUUUCUUGUUAGUAAACUCUAUAAAGAUUUCCUAUUUUUCGUUGAUUCUUAUCUCUGUAAAAUAAAAAAUUAAACUAAUAAUACAGUAACAAUAUAUUUACAUAUCCGAAAGUAGACACUUAUAUAUAUUUUUUAAGUAGACACUAUAUCAAAAUGAAAAGAGAGAGAGAGAGAGAGAGAGAGAGAGAGAGAGAGAGAGAGAGAGAGAGAGAGAGAGAGAGAGAGAGAGAGAGAGAGAGAGAGAGAGAGAGAGAGAGAGAGAGAGAGAGAGAGAGAGAGAGAGAGAGAGAGAGAGAGAGAGAGAGAGAGAGAGAGAGAGAGAGAGAGAGAGAGAGAGAGAGAGAGAGAGAGAGAGAGGUAUUUGUGUUGUGAAGCAAAGGCAGAAGAGAAGAAAGGAAUAAAACUAAAUCCAGGAAAAUUAAGAAAGAGAGAUGUUUGCGUAUGUAUGCAUAUCAUGUAUGUAUGCGUAUGUAUGAGAUGUUGUUCCUUGAUAGUAUACAUUGGAAAACGAUAGAUGAGAAAGGGCAAACUCGUAACUCGGUCUAUUCCAAAUACUGAGAGCUUUUUAUUUACAUUUUAAAUUUGUCAUUUUUCGCAUUUCGUGCACCACGCAAAGUAACCCAUGCAGCGAAUAUAAAAUGGUUUGCUGCUACAGUCAUUGAUAUCGCUUAAGUAAUUAGCAAGGCACUAAUUUAACUAAUUAGUUUUUUGUUUUAUUGUUGACUAUUGAAAUUAUAGGUUUAUAGCUCAAAUAACUGAUAUAUGUAAUAAAUUUUUUUUUUUGAAAAGAUGUAUUAUAUAUAUAUAUAUUAACAAACAAUAUUUUAUUAAUUUAGUAGUUGAAACUUUGAAAUGUAAAUUAAUGAGUUAUACCCGAUCAUUUCCAUAGAUAAAAUAUACUACUUAAAAAUAAUGUAUACUUAGCAAUAUGAAUUAUGCAGAUUUAGAUAUUACAUGAAUAUAAACCACUAAAAUUUUGUUGACAUAAACAUGUAUAAUCUUUAAUGGUUGUAAAUAUAUAUACAGAUUUAUUUAUAUACAUGGAGAACAAAUUUUAAAUUUACCUUAUUUAAACCUAAAAAUCUUUUGGUAUAUGGUUAAAACUUACAUGUUCACAGAUUAUGAUGAGAAUGUUGAUUAAAAAAGUUGGAGAAGAGUACAAGAAAAGAGAGAAUAAAGGGUUGCUCUCUUCUGUCCUAUCUAAUCUAUAGUCAAGGCCAAAGCCAAAGUUAAAUAGCUAAAUAAAAGAUUAUAAGAAAAAAGAAAAAACAAAGACAAAACAUUUAAAAUAGUAUUUAUUUUUUAAACUAGUGCUUUGAUUUUGGUACCCGGAGACGACGGGAUACGUACAAUUAGAGAGAGAAAGGAACUGUCUCCUCUCUGACUGUUUUUUUAUUUUCUCUCCCCCACUCUCUUCGCUUCUCACUUCACUCUCUGUUUACAUCUUUGUUAUAUUUAUUUAUUUAAUUUCUUUUAUACGAUUUUGGGAUCAAACAAAUUCAAAUUUCUGACCGUAUAUUGUUCAACUAUACCUAAAGAGAUAUACAUUAAAUAUCCGUCCCUCCUUGAGUUUAUGAAGAGUAAUAUAGAGUAUAGACAUUUAGUUCGUAGAUAUAUGUAGACUACAAAAUCAACAGGUGUUGUUUGACCAAUUUGUGAAGUCUAUUAAGACCAAAUUAAGCUGAUCUGUCACUUUAAAGUAAUCACGUAAUUUUAAAAUAUGUAUAUGUAGUAGGCUAUAUUACGAAUCUUCAAAUUGUUUGAUUAUUGUGUAUCAUAAACUUAUGCCUAAGAAUUAGUGUUAUUCAUCCCACUUGAUUUAGAAUAUAUAUUUUGUGUUUUGUUUUCUUAAAAAGGGUAACAUACUUUGUGUAUUUUGCCUUCCAAAUGUGGGGAAAAAGUUGUCUUACAAAAAAGUACCUUUCUCUUCAAAUGCACUCAUACAUGCAUGAUACCCAUACGACACACAUUCGUGUGUACAAUACAAUGUUUAUAGUAGGUACAUAAACCAUGUCUCAUAUAAGAAUUCUCUCUAUUAUUUUUUGGUAAAAUUCUCUCUAUUAUUGUAACGCAUAAUUGCUAGAUUGAUAUAUGUAUAUGUACAUAUAUAAUUAUAUUUUAUCAUACCUAAGAAAAGAUCAGCCAGAAAGUAUAUUUUGUUUGUUUCCUUGAGUAAGCAAACACAAGUAAACUCUAAAGAACCUAAAGAUUUUCUUCUAAUUCCCUUUUCAUUUUCCCAAAUAUUCCUUCUCAGUUAAAAAAAAAACUCUUUCUAUAUUUCUUUGAGUUGUCUCUAAGAAAGUAUUAGCUAUUCUUUCCUCAUAUGAUUAUUUAUAUAAGAUAAUUUUUUUCUUCAUUGACCGGAUACAUAUUUUACAUAAUAUGAAAAGAUUAAAUUUAUUUUUGACAAAGCGGUUUACUUUAUUAUUUAGUUUGUUACAACCCAAAUUAGAUAGAUUCUGUGUAGAUGAAAAUAUAUCAACUUUUAUAUAGUAUAGAUUUUUUAGAAGAAAAAAUUCAUCUAGUUUUUUUUUCCUCUUUUUACCUUUUUAAUGACAUGGCUAUUAUUUUGAAUCAUUGAUACAAGAGACAAUAUAAAUAAAAAUUCAGUUAAAAUUAUGUCAAAAGCAACGUUAAAAGCAUAUACAAUUGGUAGUCUUAUGCGCAAAGAGGACAAAAAAGAGUACACCACUUGUCCAAAAUGAAAUUCCUUGGAUAAAAGAACUAUAUAUUUCUAUUAUAUAUGAAAUUAGGCCACGAUGAAUGGCCAUGUAGAAAAUUGACGAAAAUGGCUUAGCUAACUUUCUCUGGGAAAACAGCUAUUUCUUAAAAAGCAGGAACUCUAUUAUUUUCCUACCAAAUUAAAGCCUACGUACGUGUCUUCUAUUAAUUAGUUGCUAAUUUUAGAGAUAUAAAUAACGUUGGUCCAUCAUAUUGCAUGUACAUUGUCUUAUGUCUUUAAUUUAUAAGUUUUAUAUAUUGGCUCAAAGUCUCUAUAGUUAUAUACUACGUGCAUUUCGCAUUCAUUAAUGAUUUGGAGUCUUUUGACUACUGUCAGUAAUCAGACAUAACUGAGAUAAGUAUGUGAAUUGACACUCUUGUCAAAACGGUAUAACUAAGACAUUAGUUUUUUUUUAUAAGUUAUUUUCUAGGGGUUUUACUAAGAAAAAGCAUAAUUAGUGAAUGCCUAUAUAUUAACUGUUCCGUAGAUGGGUAUGUAAACGUGUAAUAAUAUCAAUGCAUGGACACAAACGUACGUCGGUGAGUGAGAUCCAAUAUGACAAGUAAUUACUGUUUUAUUUGAAAUUUAUUGGAGUAUUUUAUUUAUUUUUUAUGAAAAUAAAUUAUCACCAUGCCAGAUUUCAAAAAAAUAAAAAUUAUCACUGCACGCAUUAAAUGGAUCCAACAGAACAUGAGGUUCUAUAUUGUCUAAAUUAAUAUUUUACACCUUUUUGGAAUAUAUCGGAGAAUGAAAGACUCCGUUGAUUCUACCAAUUCGUUGACGUUCAUAUCUCUAAACUACUAUUUGUCACAUAUUUGAUUUUUUUUUAAAUCUUUUUACUUAAUUGUUAGUAUCUAUUUUAAACUUUCUACCUUGUACAUAUAAAUCUACAUCUUUGUCAAAUAAGGAAUCUAACUGAUGAACAUAUUACAGUAACAUUAUGAAUGAGUAGAGAAAAAAUACAGAGGAAUAAUAUUAGAGGAAUAAAAAAGAAAAUGAUUCUUUAUCAAUUUUAGCAAAAAACAAAUUUGUUCUAUAUUCCUUUAAAAUAAAAAGAAUGAGAAUAAAUGCAAAGGAAAAACAAUUCAUUAUAAAUGGUAAAAAAAAAUUAGGAAUAGUAAAUAAUGCAUUAUUUUCUUUCAUUCUUUGGUCACCAGUUACACCCAAAAAAUUUUGAUUUAUUUAUUUUAAUGGAUCCACAUGUUUCUUGCAUUAUGAAAAAAAUUGUCACACAUUUUUAAUAUUAGUUAAUUAUGCUAUUACAUUAAAGAAGUAGUUAGUUUCAAAUCAAUUCUCUAAAACAAUCACUUGGAGCCACUCUUUAAAUGGAAAACUAAUAGCGAUUCAUACAAGCUUAGAAUUAACUUUAGAAUCAUACACAAUAUAUUACAUAAAUAGAUUUACACUAGUCAAUUUUACCUCAUCAAAUUUACGUCUAAAUGUAUCAUUCUGAAUCGUCUUAUAUAGAUCCACAUAUAACAGUUCUAUUUGCAUCAUGAUGAAUGAUCUCUUAUAUAUAUUUUCUCCAUUUAUCUACAUAAUUUCAAGAUUCGAAAUCCAAUCUCUAAAAUAAAAAAUAUAUAUUAAUAAACCAUCGGCAAACCACUAAACUAACUUCCAUGUUAUCAUAGAGAGGAAAAUUUUGGGCUAAAAAGGUUUUUUUGCACACUUAAUUUUCUUAUUGAGAAGAGAAAAUUGAUGUUCGUUAAGAAUUGUAAGAGAAAUAAUCGAAUCCACUGGAGCGCUUUGCAAAGUGUUUUCUUGUGUAGCAUCUCAAAUUUAUAGUAAGCAUAAGUUCUUACAAACAACGUUUGUGUAAAAACAAGGACAACUAGGGUAAACGCGAAUCAUUUUGGUACCUCCUAGACAUUAGACAAUGUAUGGAUUGGAGUAUAAAAGAAUUCCUUUAUUUUAUGGGUCAAAUAUUUCAGCUAUUAGUAAUUACAUAAAUUUCAUGAAAAACAUGGUGAUAUCUAUUUCGUCUUAUGCGGAAAGCUUUUCCAACCAAAAAAAACAUUAAUUGGUUUUUCAUUUUGCAAUGAGAAUAGCCCAACAUGAUUCGUUCAUCACAUUAUCUCAUAAAGAAUGUAUAUAAUAUGCUUUCUCACUUCUAUUUUCAUUUUUUUCUUUCCUUUCACGUUCACCGUGCAAAAUUAUCCCUCUCAAGUCUCAAGUGGCAUUCUAGUUGGAGAAUAAAGGGAAUGCUUAAAGUCUUCCAUAUUUUUGUUUAAAGAACCCAAAAACUACUUUUAUGCUUUACGUCUUUUGAAAUAUAAUCUUAGGGAUAGUUUCAAAAAAUAUAUAAAAAAGGGUUAUAUUGGACCCAUCGCUUUUAGAUAUGCAAAUAGCAAAAUUUCUAGAGUUGUGAAUUACAUGAUUUCAUUCUCUUCCAAUCUCAAAAGGAACGAAACAAAAAUUUGAAAUUAUUAUCCCCUUUUACAUUUUGUAAAGAUAUAGCAAAUAUAUAUUUACUAUCACAUAAUGAAGCUAACUGGGUGAAUUUUUAAAUAUAAUUCACUUCAAACUUUCUUUUUUCAAAGAAGCUAGUGAAACUAUUUCGAAAACAUAAAAAUAUUUGUACUUACAAAAUAAUUUACUGGAAAAGCUAUCACAAUUCAUUGGAGAAUAUAAAGUUUGAUCACUGGCUAGUAAUCAAUCUACCAAUAAUACGACACAUCAUUUUUGUAAGGUAUCUAUCAAAAUUUGACGAAAUUUCUUAGUGCAUAAAAUUGUUGAUCACUAGCUAGUAAUCAAUUAAUUUUCUUGUAAUCAAUUAAUUUUAUCAGAAGUAUGUUUUUAUUUUCAGCUUUGUUGUAAAUAAAUAAAUAAAAAAAUCUAUACAAAAUGAUAAAAUAGAAACAGAAGUUAAAGAGAAAAUAUUGGUACUACACUCCAACAAAUAACUUAUCAAAUAUAACUAAAAUCACAUGUAUGUAUAUAACAUAUUAAUCACUCAAUGAUGUAUUUGCAAAACUUCUAGAAUACUAGUGAUUUUUGUUACAAAAGAAAUUGAAACAAGACUUUGAUCAACAUUCUUUUUGGGUCACAAUUAUCGUCAAUACUAAAAGAAUAGAAAUCCAUGUUAUAUUUUUUUUCGCGUAAAAUUGGUUAUUCUAUACCAACUGUUUUCUCUUCGGGGUGGUGGGAGAUGGGGCCUAAGGAAUUGGCAAAAUUGUACCAUGGGUUGGUUCAAACGCAAUGGACAAGACCGAAGAUUGGGAAAGAAUGAGAUAUGGCAUGAAGGUGUUGUAGUUGUCUCAUUAACCAACAACAGUCAUAGAGAGAUAUGUGAUGUAUAUUGAUCAUGAGAGGGUCCAUAUCAUUAUAUUUAUAUUGGGUGAAUAUAUCAUGUAACGUCAAUUUUAUAUGUCUAUAUAUUGUUAUUAUGAUUAAUAAAUAGUAAGAAUAUUAUGAGGGAGAAAGAGCACACAAAACCAAAGAAUGUACUGUGACACCCACCAACAUCGCGUAACUAUGAUACAUAUAUGUACUUACCAUAGCGACAAGGUUCUAAUCCAUACCGGGGUGAACAUGUAUUCUUGUCGCUUUGAUUUUUCUUGCAACCUCUUCUCAGGUUUCUAUUUAUUAGGUUUAACAAUAUUUUCUUGUUAGGCAUCUACCGAUAGCCUUUUCCGACUAAUAACAGCUUAGUAGUUAUUAACCAUAAAUUGUUUCUAGUCAGGUUCUUGAUUGCACUAAAAUGACAAAAUUUCAAGUCAUGAUAAUAAAAUUAGCUAAUACUACUUUUUAUUUCAGUCGUCGUGAAACUGAAUCAUGUGUUGCGAAUGAAUGAUUAAAGCUUUGAAUGAUCAGCGAUAACAGCAACGUCAAACACAAUAUAUAUAAACACACACAUUUAUGAGAGCUUUUAUAACAAAAUUUAAUAAUUUAUCCAUAAACCCCGUCACAUUUAUGGUUUUUUUUUUUUUGAAAAAAACACAUUUAUGGUUUUUUCAGUAGGUGUGAAACCUAAAUGAGCUUUUCUCGCAAGAUGUUAUAAAGUGGGAAUUAAAUAAAAUUUUGAGAUAAGUGUAGGAAUAUCUCAAAUUCGAAUCUGCAAAGUCAUCUUAAAUGAUAAAUGGAUCAAAAAGCUUAAAUAAUUGAUGUAAGUUUAAGGUUAAGAGAGAUAUAGAGAGAGAGAGAAGCAACUCAAACAAAAGAGUAAUAAAUGAGAGACAGGAGGGCACAAGACUUUUCUGCCCAUUGCAGAAAAGAUAGCCUGAUGUGAGAGGUGAUGAAAUCAUUUUGUAAUCGAUUGCUUUAUGAUUGCUCCUUUCAUUUUAUUUUUUUCCUUAAAAAAUAUAGAGAUGCAUUUAUUAACAAGUGAAAAAGUUAUCGUUGGGUUGGAUUUUUUUUGUUCAGAAAAAAAAGUGCUGGAUUUUUUUUCUUUCUCUAAAGCUGAUUAAAGUAGAAGAGAAAAAAGUAUAUAUUCAAUAAACAAAGUGCUUUUACCAAAGCUUUUUCCCCUCUGUGUUUUCACUUAAUAAAUGUGGAGUAUUAUUUAUUGCUGACAAAUAAAAAUAUAUAUACAUGAUAAAGUCAUGAGAUGAAAAAAGCAAAAGUUACAAAAAAGCUGCAAGAUGAUGAAGGUAUAAUGACUAAAUAAUAAUCGAAUGCAUGCAUGCAUUGCUAUUCAGUAUUCUUAUAUACGCACAACACAUACCAAAGUAACUUUUUACUAACUUCUGAUGACUCGCUUGUUUCAACCCUUCAAACAUUUACUUAUUCUUCUGCUUUAUAUUCACUUCACAAACCUUCUCCCAAACUAUGUGAUGCUUCUUUAAAUUCCAAAGUAGAUGUGUGUGUGUGUAUAUUAUUUACGCAUAGAAACAUGUAUGCCAUGCAUGUCAAUCUUAUCAUGUAGAUUUUUAUUUAUAACUUAUGUGGUUAAACUCCAAACCAAUGUCUAGUACCAAUUCCGAUUGUCAUGUGGAACAACAAUGAAUUUGACUUUUAUCUUUUUUUUGAACUUAAAAAAAGAAGAAGAUAAAGUCAAAUUCGAUUACCAAGGUGAUUUCUCAACCACUAACUUUUUUUAACAUUAAAGUUUAGUUGAAUCAAAGAAUUUCAAAAUAGUUUUAAACUGGUAAAGUUUGGUCUAAGCUCUAAAUUAAUUAGGAAUGUGAAUCUCAAAUCAUAACUACAAAUGAAAUUGAUAAAUAAAUAUAAUCUGACAAUAAUUAAAAAGUUUGGUGACCAAAUAAAAUAUAAUAAGACUAGUGUAGAUUUUUUAUAAAAUGGUUUUCAAGACUAAUGUAGUUCGAUUUAUUGAUAGUUUCGUUACCCUCUUCGUUACUUUUUUUGUACAACAGAAAUUUCAGUGAGAAAAGUUUAGUACACAACCCUCUUCGUCUCCUAUAUACUCUUUGUUUAGCUCAUUGUAGAAACGGGCCCAAAAGAGAUGUUAUCAAUCCUUCCUUUAUUUAUCCAUCUUCGGUUACCGUCGAGUCGGGUCUAGUUUGGGCCGCCUAGUAAUGGAGAAGUUUGUAAGCUUCGGUUUAAGUUAAUGUCAAAAACUUGACUAAACCGAGACUUGAAUCUUGUAAUAACAUAUAGAUUCUGAAAUAGAAGAAAGUAAAAGCUAGGGAAAAGAACUACUAUUAUUUCUUGGAAAGAGUUUAAAUCAAACAUUCUUAAACAAAGAACACAUGAGAAGUGUUUCAUAAAGAGGAAUAGACAAUAGAAGAAUCAACAUGAACUGAUAUAAGAGGUUCCUUGAGACUCAAGGUUUCUUCCUUCAUGGUUUCCAGAGGAUUGUGGUUUCAGCAACCAUGGAGGUCACAGUGUAGGGAUCCAUGUUCGACGCUGGCCUACGAUCUUCAAAGUAUCCUUUCCCAUCUUUCUCUGUGUCACGACCAACCCUAAUCG